rnacentral:rRNA from 1 species
CUCUGUGACUCCUACGGGAGCAGCAGUGAGGAAUAUUGGUCAAUGGGCGAAAGCCUGAACCAGCCAUGUCGCGUGCAGGACGACUGCCCUAUGGGUUGUAAACUGCUUUUAUAUGGGAAGAAAUGCGAGUACGUGUACUUGUUGCCGGUACCAUAUGAAUAAGCAUCGGCUAACUCCGUGCCAGCAGCCGCGGUAAUACGGAGGAUGCGAGCGUUAUCCGGAUUCAUUGGGGUUUAAAGGGUGCGUAGGCGGAAGUGUAAGUCAGGGGUGAAAGUUUGUGGCUCAACCAUAAAAUUGCCUUUGAUACUGUAUUUCUUGAGUACAUUUGAGGUAGGCGGAAUGUGUUGUGUAGCGGUGAAAUGCUUAGAUAUAACACAGAACACCGAUUGCGAAGGCAGCUUACUAAACUGUAACUGACGCUGAUGCACGAAAGCGUGGGGAUCGAACAGGAUUAGAUACCCUGGAG